rnacentral:rRNA from 1 species
GAUGAACGCUGGCGGCGUGCUUAACACAUGCAAGUCGAACGGAAAGGCGCGGCUCUUGUGGGGUGCUCGAGUGGCGAACGGGUGAGUAAAACGGGAGUAACCUGCCCUUGACUUUGGGAUAACUUUAGGAAAAUGGGGCUAAUAUCGGAUAGGAGCUCCUGCUGCAUGGGGGGGGUUGGAAAGUUUCGGCUGUUGGGGAUGGACUCGAGGCUUAUCAGCUUGUUGGUGGGGUAGUGGCUUACCAAGCCUUUGACGGAUAGCCGGCCUGGGAGGGUGACCGGCCACCUUGGGCCUGAGAUACGCCCCAGACUCCUACGGGACGCAGCAGUGGGGAAUAUUGCACAAUGGGCGGACGCCUGAUGCAGCAACGCCGCGUGCGUGAUGACGGCCUUCGGGUUGUAAACCGCUUUCGCCUGUGACGAAGCGUGAGUGACGGUAAUUGGUAAAGAAGCACCGGCUAACUACGUG